rnacentral:piRNA from 1 species
GCGUGCUGUAGUGAACAUUUUGU